UACCAGCACCCCGAGUGGUCGGGACGAUUAUUGGGCCUAAAGCCUCCGUAGCCGGUUCUGCAAGUCCCCCGUUAAAUCCAGCUGCUCAACAGAUGGGCCGCGGAGGAUACUACAGAGCUAGGAGGCAGGAGAGGCAAGCGGUACUCAGUGGGUAGGGGUAAAAUCCGUUGAUCCAUUGAAGACCACCAGUGGCGAAGGCGGCUUGCCAGAAUGCGCUCGACGGUGAGGGAUGAAAGCUGGGGGAGCGAACAGG
rnacentral:rRNA from 1 species